GCGACCUCAGGUCAGGCGGGGCCACCCGCUAAUUAAGCAAAAGGGCAA
rnacentral:rRNA from 1 species